rnacentral:rRNA from 1 species
UGCAGUCGAACGGCAGCACGGGUGCUUGCACCUGGUGGCGAGUGGCGAACGGGUGAGUAAUACAUCGGAACAUGUCCUGUAGUGGGGGAUAGCCCGGCGAAAGCCGGAUUAAUACCGCAUACGAUCUACGGAUGAAAGCGGGGGACCUUCGGGCCUCGCGCUAUAGGGUUGGCCGAUGGCUGAUUAACUAGUUGGUGGGGUAAAGGCCUACCCAAGGCGACGAUUCAGUAAAUGGUUCUGAAAGGACGACCAGCCACACUGGGACUGAGACACGGCCCCAGACUCCUACGGGAGGCAGCAGUGGGGAAUUUUGGACAAUGGGCGAAAGCCUGAUCCAGCAAUGCCGCGUGUGUGAAGAAGGCCUUCGGGUUGUAAAGCACUUUUGUCCGGAAAGAAAUCCUUGGCUUCUAAUACAGUCGGGGGAUGACGGUACCGGAAGAAUAAGCACCGGCUAACUACGUGCCAGCAGCCGCGGUAAUACGUAGGGUGCAAGCGUUAAUCGGAAUUACUGGGCGUAAAGCGUGCGCAGGCGGUUUGCUAAGACCGAUGUGAAAUCCCCGGGCUCAACCUGGGAACUGCAUUGGUGACUGGCAGGCUAGAGUAUGGCAGAGGGGGGUAGAAUUCCACGUGUAGCAGUGAAAUGCGUAGAGAUGUGGAGGAAUACCGAUGGCGAAGGCAGCCCCCUGGGCCAAUACUGACGCUCAUGCACGAAAGCGUGGGGAGCAAACAGGAUUAGAUACCCUGGUAGUCCACGCCCUAAACGAUGUCAACUAGUUGUUGGGGAUUCAUUUCCUUAGUAACGUAGCUAACGCGUGAAGUUGACCGCCUGGGGAGUACGGUCGCAAGAUUAAAACUCAAAGGAAUUGACGGGGACCCGCACAAGCGGUGGAUGAUGUGGAUUAAUUCGAUGCAACGCGAAAAACCUUACCUACCCUUGACAUGGUCGGAAUCCUGAAGAGAUUCGGGAGUGCUCGAAAGAAAACCGGCGCACAGGUGCUGCAUGGCUGUCGUCAGCUCGUGUCGUGAGAUGUUGGGUUAAGUCCCGCAACGAGCGCAACCCUUGUCCUUAGUUGCUACGCAAGAGCACUCUAAGGAGACUGCCGGUGACAAACCGGAGGAAGGUGGGGAUGACGUCAAGUCCUCAUGGCCCUUAAGGGUAGGGCUUCACACCGUCAUACAAUGGUCGGAACAGAGGGUUGCCAACCCGCGAGGGGGAGCUAAUCCCAGAAAACCGAUCGGAGUCCGGAUUGCACUCUGGCAACUCCAGGGCAUGAAGCUGGAAUCCCUAGUAAUCGCGGAUCAGCAUGCCGCGGUGAAUACGUUCCCGGGUCUUGUACACACCGCCCGUCACACCAUGGGAGUGGGUUUUACCAGAAGUGGCUAGUCUAACCGCAAGGAGGACGUCACCACGUAGAU